AUAUUACUAUCAGUGUAUACUGUGAAUAGACUGAAUUUUUUAUCUUGUCCUUUCAGUCUUACAGAGUGACAGCAGGACCAAGCUUUCAAGACCCACAGAUCUUGAAACUGAGAGCACCCAUCAGGGACUUGGUGUGAUAAGCAGCUUUCAUCUUCUCUGCUCUGUGGCAUUGGCUGCCUCUGUACUAUGGUCAGGUCCCCCACCUUUUAUCUCAAUGAUUUCAAGCUCUUUCCCUGCUCUGGACUGUGCCAAGUGACUGGGUCUGACACAUCUGCCCUUGGCCUUGAACCCAUCCCGGGCACUGAGCAGCAGGCUUACCUGAACUGCAUCUGGAGCAUCCCUACCAGCCUUGUGGCAACUCAGUUUCAGGUGUUUUUGAAGGAAGAAGUGAUUUUCCACAGCUCAUAUAGCUUUUAUCAGAAUAUUCUUAAUAUUAAGCAAUGAUGCCAUUCAACGAGUUAAAACUACCACCCUCUAGAGACUAUUCAAAAUUCAGUAACCUUGGCAACAAAAUAAAAGCAAUUCCGAUUUAGUUGUUUCAAAUGGGGAGCAUACACCCUUACAUAUGUGAACAUAUUGUUAACAGAUUGGUUUAUGUUCCUAUUUUCUUAAUUGUAUGGCUUCCUUAAACAUUCCACUAUUAGAAAAUACUACAUUUUAUUCAUCUAAAAUUUGUCCUACAUUACAGAACAUCACCUGAUCAGGAAAAAAACCAAACAUAUCUCUCUGGAACAGAGUCAGAAAAUGGUGCAGGAGCCUACAGACAUUCUUGUCAACUGACUACAACCAGAAAAUAACAGUAUGCAUUCAGGUGAUUUUUCAAGGCAAACUGAGUAGUCACUCAUUGUUUUCAUAUCUUAUGUUUUGGAGAGUCUCUAAACUUGCUCCAUCCCUUGCAGAGGUAUUCAUUUCAGGGUAGGAAUCAAAAGAGGAAUAUUCCCUUCAAAACUGAAGCCUCAUGUAGCACACAGUUCAAAUUCUGGAGCCAAGAGACAAGCUGGUGAGUCUGGACAGUGCUGCUAAACAUGGAAAUGUCUGGGACAAAUGGGAAGAGGUUGAGUGGCUCUGUGUCCCAGCACCCAGCACCACUGAGGUCCCUGUGCUCUGCACCUCCACAGGACUUCACAAUUGAAUUUGGCUGCCUGAGAUUUUCUUUUUUGCUUUUGCAAAUGAUACCAAAGUGUUACCCUCACUCACUUAGGAGGCUUCAGGCAAAAAGCUCAGGCCAUCUAACAGCAAACUGCUAGAAGUGCUGUAUGUUUUCCUUUUUUAAGUUGGUGAAAUAAUUUGUUUCCCCAAGCUAGUGAUAAUAUGGAUUUGGAGCACAGCUUUCCCAGAUUUAUUUAAUAAAGGGUUACCAUUUUUCUUCUAGCAGAAACAAUCAGAGAAAAGAAAGCUAUUCUCCUCCACACAAUGGAAAGCAGGAUUAUAGAAUAAAUGCAAGGGAGAUAAGAAAGGUGAAUCAAUUUAAAUGACCUUUACUCAAGAUUCAUUGAAACAAAUGAAUAAGAGGAUUUAUCUAGCAGAAAAUAAAGCGGAAAUAAGAAAAUAAUGGCUAAACAGCAAACUAAAGGAAAAAUUCUAAUUAUAUUGAAAGAGAUUUGCCAGGGUUUCUUAGUUUAAAAUUAAAAACAGCUUAGAGUAUGUUAAAACAUGUAUAGAUUAAAGCUGAGCAAACAUAAUAAACCCACUUGGACAGCUAAGCUAGGAGUAGAAUAGAAUGCAGUGCUUGCAGCUGAGAAAGAGCUUUGCCUAUUUGCACCAUUAACUUUCUAAAAUUUAGUCCUCCUACCUUAUGGAUCAACUGUUUCAGAGAUUAAUUGGCUUGCUAAUACCAUAAAAUCCUAUUUUUUAUUUCUCACACAGGACAGGAGCCUAAAUAGUCCAUUGCAAAGCUAGGCAAAAAAAGCACAUAAAUGGAAUUUUAAUAGUGCCACAAGAAAUAGCUGUGGGGCUGAAGGUCCUGAAAGUUGCCUAAGCCCUAUCCUGGUGCACAGGGUCCUCAGGCUGACAUUGGCCUGGCUGUGCCAAGCAGAGGAUAGUGCCAAGUGUGCAAAUCCAGAGCUGGGGGUGCCAGCCAGCACCCACACCCCAGCAGCUCCACCUGGAGCCUUUGCUGCCCACAGCCAGCUCAGCAGUGCUGCUGAGCACCCUGGACAGCAUCUUCCUUCCAGUGCUGGGCAGAACCUUAUGUGGGUUGUUUGUUCCCCAUCAAUAUUUUUUUCAUAUUUGUAAAAAAAGCACCCUAAAUAAGCAAACUGCAUGUACAGUUCUUCUGGCAAAGGAAAAAAAAAAAAGCCUUUUUUUUUUUGUUUGCUUAGCUUAAACCUUAAAUUUUGCCUCCUUUUGAUAUGACAAUCAACCAACUAAGACCAUUAAUUACAUGGUGAUGAAUUUCUUUCAGUGCACAGAUACCAGGGUAAUAGGUUUAAGCAAAGUCAUGGAAUUUGGCAGCUUUCCUUUCCUAGCAAGAUUAUGUCAGUGCUCCUAAAUCCAUUGAUCCGGUGAGACAGUAAUUAGUUAAUUUAAUGAGAAUCAAAGGAUUUUAGCCUGCAGAAUUUACAGUACUAACAAGACAGGUUAUUUUUGGAAGCUAUUUCCAAUAAAAACACUUCAAUCAGCCAGCAAGAAUAUUGUCUCUUGAUUAAAAACAUGGCGCAUCGUUUAUCGCUAUCACCAUGGGGUUAGGCUAAUGCUGGAAAGUAUCCUGUGCUUACUCUGGUUUUGGCUACUGUUAGAGUGCCUGUUUUGUUUUAAGAACAUUAUUGUGAAUCACCUUUGUGAGCAUCUUCUUAGGGUGCAGCCAUGUGCAUGGAUGGUUCUGCUUGUUCUUGUUAAUUAUUUUCCCCGCAGUGAGGAGCUUUCUGCUGGUGCCUGACUGCUGUGGCUGCCAGGGGCAAUGCAGUGGGCAGGGAAAACAAGGCUCAACUGCAAAAGGCAGAUUUGCUUGGCAGCAAGACAUGCCCAAGAAAUGCUGGUUUCAGCUGAGGGGCUCCACACAAGCCAAAUGUGUAGGAAAACUGUGUUGAGCUUGCACGGUCCUGGAGACUGCCUUUGCCAUAUCUCUGAAGAAUAAUUAAUUGCUCUGAAGAGACAUCCUAAACCUGGCAUUUAAUUUCACUCUGCAGAGACCUAGCACUUCUGCUGUUAGCACAAACAAGCAAAGAAACCAAAACCAUUUUGCAAAAAAACCAAAUAAAGCCAUGCAGGAGCCAGCUAAAGGAAAAACGCAGCCCAUGGGUCUCUGCUCACUCACACUUAGCCUGUGCUAAGCAGGCCCAGGUAUAAAAGCAUCUGAGGCAGACACACAGCUGGACAUCCCUCACUCCCUUACCAGAUUUUGGCUGUGCAAGGGACCUCUGGGAAGAAAAUAUCAUCUGUGGAGAAGUGUCUCCUGCAACUGUGAGAAGUCAGGCCUAAGGCUAUGAAAAAUGACAGUAACGAUGUUCUUCAGCUGCAAGGACAGUCAGCAUUUAUGAAGGAAGAUUGGGCUACAGCAUCCCAAAGUCCACAAAGAGCUGAUGACAAUUGGAUAGUCCCAGUCAAGCCCCUGCACUCCAUGUAUGCCUUUUCUACAAAGUGAAAUUGUACAUUGUAUUUGUUAUAGCUUCUUUUCUCUGAGUGUUUUAUAUGGGAUACCAGCUCACAUAUCAGAUCACAUUUCAUUAUCUUUUAUGGUAAUGCUUGGGCCAUAUAUCAUAUUCUCUAAUAAAUCUUAGCUUUGGCAGCACAGUAUCAUAAUCUUACCUUUCAAAACACUGCUUUCAGCAGUAGAUACACAGGGCUGCAUCUUCCACGUGGGUUUUUUGCAGUUUAUCAAAAUGAAACAUGACAUCUACUGUAAAUGAUAUUCCCAUUUAGUGCUUAAUGAUACAUCUGCUUCCUCUCAUCCACAAAUUCUGAUGGCUUGCUAAACAGAUAUUUUGUUUAGUGACAACCUGCCAAACUGAGGCUUCGUUAUCUUCAGCCUAUCAGCAAUGGAGGCUGGUGCAAUUAUGAGUUGGGACU